rnacentral:misc_RNA from 1 species
UCAAACUUGGUCAUUUAGAGGAAGUAAAAGUCGUAACAAGGUUUCCGUAGGUGAACCUGCGGAAGGAUCACAUUAAAAAAUUUGCCAUAGACAUUUUGUGUCAAAGGCCCACACCGUGUGCACUUAUAAUUGUAUUUUUUGGCAGGGGCAUGGGUCUUUUUUUUGAACCAACUUUUCCUUUGGCUCCACCCCUUUUUUCGGGGCAGCCAGACAUGAAAAGUAGUACCCUGCCAAGUGACACAUAAACACGCUUAUUUGUCUGAAACAUUUUUUUUUUUUUUUGCGAUAUAACGCAUAAUAAAAAAUAACUUUCAACAACGGAUCUCUUGGCUCUCGCAUCGAUGAAGAACGCAGC